rnacentral:rRNA from 1 species
UACAGAGAUCUCAAGCGUUGUUCGGAUUCAUUGGGCGUAAAGGGUGCGUAGGUGGCGGGGUAAGUCAGGUGUGAAAUCUCGGGGCUCAACCCCGAAACUGCACUUGAUACUGCCUUGCUCGAGUACUGGAGAGGAGAUUGGAAUUUACGGUGUAGCAGUGAAAUGCGUAGAUAUCGUAAGGAAGACCGUGGACGAAGGCGAAUCUCUGGACAGUUACUGGACACUGAGGCACGAAG